rnacentral:misc_RNA from 1 species
AACUCUCAACCCUUCUUACUUGUUUUUCGAGUUCGAAUGGUGUUGGAUGGUGGAGGCCUGCCGGACCUUUCAAUGGGUUCAGCUCCUCUGAAAUGCAUUAGCAGUACGAACCAUUACUUGGGCUACGCUAAGCUGUGAUAAUAUCUAAGCUAGCUUGGUUCAGAGUGUUGGCAGAGCUCGGGUGUUUGAAGGGUUUGCCUCACGGCUCCCUUUGUGUUCUCUCCUCUGGAGAGAUACCUAUGCGACUCUGUGAAAGGUUUUUGCGACCGCUUCGAACCGUCUUCUUGACUGAGACAACUGUAACUGAUUAU